ACUCAGUCCUCAAAAUCCUCCUUCAUGAAAAUUUCUUGGUUUCACAUAUGUUGGGGAUGUGAGGGCCGGAGGAUAGAGGGGUAGAAGAGAAAGGUAGAAAAAAAAAAUCUCAAAGGAAGAAAACCAGGAUUGUUGCUAGUUUUAGAGAUCCAUAUCAUUCCUGCUUCUCUUCUCAUCCAAUAGGUGGGGUUGUCUAUUGUAAGCUGGUGUCUCUGCCAUCAAGAUGGUGGAGGUAACCAGGGUGGGAAGAGUGGUCCUGGUGCAGGACUCCUGGAAGUGGGGAGUGGCACCUGCCAGUCCCUGCAGGGAGACUGGACCUCACUAGUCUCUUUUUGGGACCGCUCAUAUGAGUUGAGCGCCCAGUACUAUCUCCCUAUCUUGCCUGGAGAUUUCCCAGUUCCUGGUCUCUCUGUUAGGCUU
rnacentral:lncRNA from 1 species